UACGUAGGUGGCAAGCGUUGUCCGGAUUUACUGGGCGUAAAGAGCGCGCAGGCGGUCGUUCAAGUCGCGUGUGAAAGCCCCCGGCUCAACUGGGGAGGGUCACGCGAUACUGAUCGACUGGAAGGCAGGAGAGGGUAGUGGAAUUCCCGGUGUAGUGGUGAAAUGCGUAGAGAUUUGGAGGAACACCAGUGGCGAAGGCGACUUUCUGGUCUGUAACUGACACUGAGGCGCGAAAGCGUGGGGAGCGAACAGG
rnacentral:rRNA from 1 species